CCUACGGAGGGCAGCAGUAGGGAAUUUUCGGCAAUGGGGGGAACCCUGACCGAGCAACGCCGCGUGAACGAAGAAGUUAUUCGUAAUGUAAAGUUCUUUUAACAGGGACGAAAGAGAAAUUUGACGGUACCUGAAGAAUAAGCUCCGGCUAACUACGUGCCAGCAGCCGCGGUAAUACGUAGGGAGCGAGCGUUAUCCGGAAUUAUUGGGCGUAAAGGGUGCGUAGAUGGCAUAGUAAGUCUUUUGUAAAAAUGCUGGGCUCAACCCAGUAGGGCAAAAGAUACUGCAAAGCUAGAGUAUGACAGAGGCAAGUGGAACUACAUGUGUAGCGGUAAAAUGCGUAGAUAUAUGUAAGAACACCAGUGGCGAAGGCGGCUUGCUGGGUCGAUACUGACAUUGAGGCACGAAAGCGUGGGGAGCAAACACGAUUAGAUACCCCUGUAGUC
rnacentral:rRNA from 1 species